GCGUCGCCUCAGCACGGACCUCCAGGGAGCUCCUCAGCAAGAUCCUGCCAGGGCGCCCCUCAGCGCGAUUCUGCCGGGGUGCCUCUCAGCGUGGUCCUCCCCGGGGCUCCUCAGCACGAUUCUCCCGGUGCGCCCCUCAGCGCGGUCCUCCUCGGUGCGUCAGUCAUCGUGGUUCUCCCCGGCGCGCCCCUCGGCGCGGUUCUCCUCGGGGCUCCUCAGCGCGGCGCUCUUCUGGGGGCUCCUCGGCGCAGUUCUCCCCGGGGACUCCUCGGCGCCGUUCUCCUCGGGGCACCCGGGGCUUUUCGGCGCGGUUCUCCCCGGGGGUUCUUCGGCGCGGUUGUCCCCGGGGGUUCUUCGGCGCGGUUCUCUCCGGGGGCCUCUCGCCGCGGUUCUGUUCUCCCCGGGGGCUCCUCAGCAUGGUUCUCCUCCGCGCGGUCCUCCCUGGGCCUCCUCAGCGCGGCACUCUCCUGGGGGCUCCUCAGCGCGGCACUCUCCCCGGGGGCUCCUCAGCGCGGCACUCUCCCGGCGGCUCCUCAGUGCGGUUCUCCCAGACUCUCCUCAGCGCGGCCCUCCCCAUCUCUCUGGGAGGGUUUGAACACGGUCAGCACGGACCUGGGCGGACGGCGCGGGACGGGUGAUCACUGGCGUUGCUGAGGAUCAGAUAUCAGGGAUGUCCUGCAUCAGUGAUGAGAGUGAAGCUUCACAGUUUUGAUGGCUGUUUAACGGAGAUAUGAUACUUGAAGCAGACCUCCACUGAUGGGUAUGUCGGUGGUUUGCAAUUUUUUGCUAUUUAACAAUUGCAGAAAUCAAUAUCCUGAUGAUGGAUUAUUUUGCAAAUGUGUAAGAUAUGUGUAGAAUAAAUUUCUAGAAUGA
rnacentral:lncRNA from 1 species